rnacentral:rRNA from 1 species
UACAGAGGGUGCAAGCGUUAUCCGGAUUUAUUGGGCGUAAAGCGUUUCGUAGGUGAUCUGGUAAGUUAUCUUUCAAAGACCACGGCUCAACCGGGGGAAGGGAGAUAAUACUGCCGGGUUUGACUCAUGAUGGGGCUUCUGGAACUGAUGGUGUAGUAGUGAAAUACGUUGAUAUCAUCAGGAACUCCAAGGGCGAAGGCAGGAAGCUAAUCAUUCAGUGACACUGAGGAACGACAGCUAGGGGA